rnacentral:rRNA from 1 species
UAAGGAAGGCAGCAGGCGCGUAAAUUACCCAAUCCUAAUUCAGGGAGGUAGUGACAAGAAAUAACAACUCGGGCCUCACACGAGGUUACGAGAUUGCAAUGAGAACAAUUUAAACCUCUUAUCGAGUAACAAUUGGAGGGCAAGUCUGGUGCCAGCAGCCGCGGUAAUUCCAGCUCCAAUAGCGUAUAUUAAAGUUGUUGCAGUUAAAAAGCUCGUAGUUGAAUAUCUGGCCGGUGCUGUGUUGGCUCCCUGAGUCGAUACAUCGCCUGGUUAUCCGUAUGGGAAACUAGCUCGACCUUCACUGGUCGGCUAGUGGAUCAUACACUUUACUU